rnacentral:rRNA from 1 species
CCCCUAGAUGUUCUGGGCCGCACGCGCGCUACACUGAACAGUUCAACAAGUCUUAACCUUGGCCGAUAGGUCUGGGUAAUCUUUGAACGCUGUUCGUGAUUGGGAUAGACCUUUGCAAUUAUGGGUCUUCAACGAGGAAUUCCUAGUAAACGCAAGUCAUCAGCUUGCAUUGAUUACGUCCCUGCCCUUUGUACACACCGCCCGUCGCACCUACCGAUUGAAUGGUCCGGUGAAAUCUCGGGACGGCGGCUCGGUCGCUUGCGUCCGACUGCUGAAACUUGAUUAAACCAUAUCAUUCAGAGGAAGGUGAAGUCGUAACA